AUUAACUUGGCAGUUAUCUUUAGAGAUGAUUAUAGUGCCACCUGCAAAGAAACGGGUGAGAUAAAUAAACUUGUGCAUGGAAGUUUGAGCAUGUCCUAUCCUCAAAAGCAAUUCCACAAUCUUUUCACUUGAUAAAUUUAAAUUCUGGUACAAGACUCUUGUUAUUUUUUGCAACCUUUUAAACUUGGAAAGUUAUUUAAUUUAGUUGUGUCUUUUGUGGUUCUUGGGUGGAAGUGGCAUUACUUAGGGCUGAUAAAUGAGCCAAACAAUGAACUGUUCGACCUUGGUUUGAAAACUUAACGAGUUUCAAAAAUGUGUUUGAAGUUGGUUUGUUUACUAGUCGAACUGAUCUUGAACAGGCUUUUAAUGAGCCAAACAUGAACUGAGUGAGCUCGAGUAGCUGGUUUUUUAAAACAGUGUACGCUUAUUGAGCUAAGUAUUAGUUUGUUCAAGAUAAAUGAGUGUAUUUAGCGAGCUCAAAACAUGUGUUCAUCUUUGGCUUGUUUAUUAGAUGAACCGAUCUUGAAUUAGCUGAAAUGGAGAAAGCUCAAGCAGAUUUAUUCAUUUAACAACCCUAGCAGUACUUCACCAGAGCUGUCAACCUGCCUGCUGUUUCUGAGGGUUCAGGCAGGGGUAUUUUUCCUAUUCAAGAUAAGGAGUUGAGUCUGGUUUCCCCCUUCUACGUUUCAAUAAAUGUAUCAUAUACAGUUUUCUCCCUUUAAUUCUGGUUUCUGUCUUUUAUGACAUAACUGAAAUGCUUAUGAGCCCUAUUUUAUUCCAUUUUUGUGAGUUGCUUUAGAGGUAGGAAAUUAUUAACUACUUCGUAAAUUAAUUUAGAUUUGGAGUGUUAAUGAGGUUGCUAUUGAGUCUAAAUCUUCAUUUUAUGUUUUUGUUGUAAGUGUUUGAAUUUGAACAAGGUAGAACUGCAAGGCGAAUUCAGACUUAGAAAAGGCUUAUGAUAGGGUGAUUAGAGACAUGUAUGAAGGUGCCGUCACUACCAUCAGAUCACUAGUAGCAGAAACAAGUGAAUUUUCAAUCACAGUAGGAUUGCAUAAAGGGUCAGGCUUGAGCCCGUACCUCUUUGCCUUAGUUAUGGAUGAAUUGACUAGACAGUUUCAGGAGGAUAUCCCAUGGUGUAUAUUGUUUGCAAAUGAUAUUGUCCUCGUAGAUGAAACUGCUAGAGAUGUUAAUACAAAACUAGAAAUUUGGAGGGAAGCAUUUGGGUCAAAAGGGUUUUCGGAUAGGUAGGAGUAAAAUUGAGUAUAUGGCGGCAAGUUUAGUGGUACUUGCAGUGCGCAUGCAGAAAGAGUGUUGAUUCAAGACCAGGAGAUACCAAAUAGUGACCAUUUUAGGUAUUUAGGUUCAAUUAUUAGUAAAGAUGGAGAGAUUGAUGAUGUGACCUAUAGGAUCCAAGUGGGGUGGCUCAAGUGGAGGAGGGGGUGUUCUAUGUGACAAGAGGGUACCCACAAAAUUGAAGGGAAAUUUCUAUAAAACUGCCAUAAGACCAGCGAUGCUUUACGAGACAUAAUGUUUGCCUAUUAAGAAAUAAUAGGUGAGUAAGAUGAGUGUAGCGAAAAUGAGAAUGUUGAGGUGGAUGUAUGGUAAGACUAGAAAAGACAGGAUUAAAAAUGAAACGGUCCGUGAGAUGGUAGGUGUAGCGCCUCUAAAGGAGAAGUUGAAGGAAAAUAGGCUAAGGUGGUUUGGGCAUGUCUCCCUUAGACCUGGAGACGCAGUAGUUAAGAGAGAGGAUAGGAUAGAUGUGGGUAGCAACGCUACGGGGAGGGGAAGACCUAAAUUGACAUUAGAUGUUGUGCGCAAAGAUGAGUCUAAUGGGUUUGAGUGAACAGUGGCCCUUGAUAGAGCUCAAUGGAGAAAAAAGAUUCAUGUAGCCAACCCCAGUUGAUUGGGACAUAAGGCUCGGUUUGGUUUAGAAUUGCAAGGCGAAUUCAAAAUUCUCCGAAUUGUGUAAUCUGAACAAGAACUGGACUAGUCUUGCAGUUUUGGUUCUGUUAGGUUUUACAUGUAUAAUGGUUAGGUUUUGGUUCCCAAUUUUUUGAAAUCGUUUGGAACAGUCUAGUUACUGAAUUUUUACAGAACCGAACCAAUGUGGUCGUGUGCACCUCUUAAUGAUCCAU